rnacentral:lncRNA from 1 species
CCGCCAUGCUUUUUCCUGAGGAGCUGAAGCCACCGCAUCUCACAGAUCCUGGACUCUGUCCGUUGCCCCACCAACCCGGAACGCCCUCCCUUCCCAGCCAUCUAGUGUCACACCUGGAGGUGACUUAGCAGGGUCACCAGUGGCCUCAGGACAGACUUCCAGUGACA